GGUCAAAGAGGGGGACCUUCGGGCCUCUCGCGUCAGGAUAUGCCUAGGUGGGAUUAGCUAGUUGGUGAGGUAAUGGCUCACCAAGGCGACGAUCCCUAGCUGGUCUGAGAGGAUGAUCAGCCACACUGGAACUGAGACACGGUCCAGACUCCUACGGGAGGCAGCAGUGGGGAAUAUUGCACAAUGGGCGCAAGCCUGAUGCAGCCAUGCCGCGUGUGUGAAGAAGGCCUUCGGGUUGUAAAGCACUUUCAGUCGUGAGGAAGGUAGUGUAGUUAAUAGCUGCAUUAUUUGACGUUAGCGACAGAAGAAGCACCGGCUAACUCCGUGCCAGCAGCCGCGGUAAUACGGAGGGUGCGAGCGUUAAUCGGAAUUACUGGGCGUAAAGCGCAUGCAGGUGGUUUGUUAAGUCAGAUGUGAAAGCCCGGGGCUCAACCUCGGAAUAGCAUUUGAAACUGGCAGACUAGAGUACUGUAGAGGGGGGUAGAAUUUCAGGUGUAGCGGUGAAAUGCGUAGAGAUCUGAAGGAAUACCGGUGGCGAAGGCGGCCCCCUGGACAGAUACUGACACUCAGAUGCGAAAGCGUGGGGAGCAAACAGGAUUAGAUACCCUGGUAGUCCACGCCGUAAACGAUGUCUACUUGGAGGUUGUGGCCUUGAGCCGUGGCUUUCGGAGCUAACGCGUUAAGUAGACCGCCUGGGGAGUACGGUCGCAAGAUUAAAACUCAAAUGAAUUGACGGGGGCCCGCACAAGCGGUGGAGCAUGUGGUUUAAUUCGAUGCAACGCGAAGAACCUUACCUACUCUUGACAUCCAGAGAACUUUCCAGAGAUGGAUUGGUGCCUUCGGGAACUCUGAGACAGGUGCUGCAUGGCUGUCGUCAGCUCGUGUUGUGAAAUGUUGGGUUAAGUCCCGCAACGAGCGCAACCCUUAUCCUUGUUUGC
rnacentral:rRNA from 1 species